rnacentral:rRNA from 1 species
UACGAAGGGGGCUAGCGUUGCUCGGAAUCACUGGGCGUAAAGGGUGCGUAGGCGGGUCUUUAAGUCGGGGGUGAAAUCCUGGAGCUCAACUCCAGAACUGCCUUCGAUACUGAGGAUCUUGAGUUCGGGAGAGGUGAGUGGAACUGCGAGUGUAGAGGUGAAAUUCGUAGAUAUUCGCAAGAACACCAGUGGCGAAGGCGGCUCACUGGCCCGAUACUGACGCUGAGGCACGAAAGCGUGGGGAGCAAACAGG